GGAAAACUCAGCCAAAGCUAGCAAGUGUCAAGUGAAUCCACAACAUCACUACAAACGUCUUUUCAAGCCAGAGUGGAGAGGAGGAAGACUGGAUAGGAAGAAGAGUGAAAGAGAUAGAGGAGGAAAGGCACUGUGGAGUGGUAAAGUGGAUGACCCUGCUCCUGAUGACCUGACCUCCCAGGCAGUGGACAAGCUCAACAAAAAACUCCACAACGACCAGGGGAUCGAUCUGAGCUCACUGUGGACGAUGGACUCACCCUGGCCAUCAAACGCUAAUCAAAUCAAAUCAAAUGUUAUUGGUCACAUACACAUGGUUAGCAGAUGUUUCAUGGGAGUGUAGCUAAAUGCUUGUGCUUCUGGUUCUGACAGUGCAGUAAUAUCUAACAAGUAAUCUAACAA